ACCUGCUCACAGGACAGCCAAGACCAGUCAGCCCACUCAAGAUGUUAAAACAGUCUAUUUCACAAGUCCAGGAACUUUUGUACAGGCUAUCCAUUUCCUAAGAUUUGUUAUUUUUUCCUGUGCCUUAAAAUCAGACACACUUAGGGGAGGAGGUCAUCUUUGUGGCUAUUGAGACAGCUCCAAUGUAUAGAGACACUGCUUGGUGACAACCCUCUCCUUGUCUAUCUAAUUCCCUUCUUUAUGUGGUCUCCUAUCCGCGUGUUAUCUGUCGGCUACUACUAGGGCUGGCUGGAGGGAAACGCGUCUUUGAAAGGAACACUCGGUCCCCUCACUGGCAGGAAUACGAGGAUUUCUUUAAGGACUCGGAUAACUAGAAAGGGGUUCCACUCCCCCAGAAGAAUUUCAGAGUCUGAAUCAUAGAGACCUCCCCCGCUGCCCUCCGCCCAACUUAAGCGGGAGAUGCAAACGGACGAGGUGUCUGUCCUUGGCCCCCACCGGUGACCUGCCAGCAGCGCCCCUCGCCUCGGGUCACUCCCGCUCCCGGACUCACCUGGUGCCGAGGACCAGCGCCGGCAAGAGAGGCAGCAAGUAGUGCGCUGGGCUGAAUUUCAUGCUUGUCACCUGCCGGGGUCCUCCUUUCCUCGCUGCCUCCGCUUCCCCGCUUCCUCCUCCAGGUCCCGUCGCUCCUCCUCGGUGCCCGGCUCUGUCCCCGGCCGGCAGUGAGCCCUCUCCAGCAGCGGACGGAAGGAAACCGACAAACGGACGGCCGCCUCGCGAAGGCAGGCGCUGAGAGCGGGGAGUAUCUUCGGGAGUGAUGUCACCAGCGAGGCGAGCCCUGCCCCGGAUUGUUCGGCGCCGCCGCUCCUGAGCCCGGAGGGCGCGCUGUCACUCGCGCCGCAGGCGGCGCGGGGAGCGGGAGGGGUGCCGGCGAUGGCCCCGCACGCUCAGGCAACGGGCUGCGCUCACCCGGCUGCACGUCCCGGACCCCGGGAGCUGGUCUUUUAUUCCCGCUUCUCCAGAGAAUGGGGAGGUGCCGGGCGGGGGCCAGGGGAGAAACCUAGUUUGCCAGUAACUGAACCUGCAUCCGCGGGAGGAGGUGAGCCAGAAUGCACUGGGGAAGACUCUCAGAGGCUCAGAGUCACAGUGCUGGUAUACAUCUGGGGCCAAUGAAAUAUUAGAAAGUAAUGGUAAGUCAUUUCUGUUUUUCCUAUAUCUUAGUUAACUCUUGAGAUGAUGCACUCUGGCUAAAAGCUCAAAUGCAAACUAAUGAAAAACCAUAAGCAGAAUUUAGCAGAACUAGUCACUUGAACUGCUUUCACAUUCCUUACCAACAAAAACUCACUCUGUUUUAUGUCACUACACUUUAAAAUAAUUUCUUAUGAUCCAAGAGAUUAUCCAAUAUAUAA
ensembl:lincRNA